rnacentral:rRNA from 1 species
UACGUAGGCAGCAAGCGUUGUUCGGAGUUACUGGGCGUAAAGGGUGCGUAGGUGGCUCUAUAAGUAUGGUGUGAAAUCUCCCGGCUUAACUGGGAGGGUGCGCCGUAGACUGUGGGGCUAGAGUGCGGGAGAGGAGAGUGGAAUUCCUGGUGUAGCGGUGAAAUGCGCAGAUAUCAGGAAGAACACCCGUGGCGAAGGCGGCUCUCUGGAACGCAACUGACGCUGAGACGCGAAAGCGUGGGGAGCGAACAGG